rnacentral:ncRNA from 2 species
AACUCUGACCCCUUAGGUUGAUAUCAGAAUGAGGUGUACCAACCUAGGUGGUCAGAGUUG